GAUGAACGCUGGCGGCGUGCCUAACACAUGCAAGUCGAACGGAGUCCAGCCUUUAAGACCUUCGGGUCAAAGAGGGGAAGACUGAGUGGCGGACGGGUGAGUAACACGUGGGCAACCUGGCUCAUAGAGGGGGAUAACAGAGAGAAAUUUCUGCUAAUACCGCAUAAGCACACACUGCCGCAUGGCAGAGGGUGAAAAGAGAAUCGCUAUGAGAUGGACCCGCGUCUGAUUAGCCAGUUGGCAGGGUAAGAGCCUACCAAAGCGACGAUUAGUAGCCGAUCUGAGAGGAUGAACGGCCACAUUGGGACUGAGACACGGCCCAAACUCCUACGGGAGGCAGCAGUGGGGGAUAUUGCACAAUGGGGGGAACCCUGAUGCAGCGACGCCGCGUGAGUGAAGAAGUGUUUCGGUAUGUAAAGCUCUAUCAGCAGGGAAGAUAAUGACAGUACCUGAAUAAGAAGCCCCGGCUAACUACGUG
rnacentral:rRNA from 1 species